CAGCCGCCGCGGGAAUACGUAGGUGGCAGGCGUUGUCCGGAAUUAUUGGGCGUAAAGGGCUCGCAGGCGGUUUCUUAAGUCUGAUGUGAAAGCCCCCGGCUCAACCGGGGAGGGUCAUUGGAAACUGGGAAACUUGAGUGCAGAAGAGGAGAGUGGAAUUCCACGUGUAGCGGUGAAAUGCGUAGAGAUGUGGAGGAACACCAGUGGCGAAGGCGACUCUCUGGUCUGUAACUGACGCUGAGGAGCGAAAGCGUGGGGAGCGAACAGGAUUAGAUACCCCGGUAGUCCCUGUCUCUUAUAC
rnacentral:rRNA from 1 species